UAACCUGCCUUGGAGUGGGGAAUAACAGUUGGAAACAGCUGCUAAUACCGCAUAAUAUGUCUGUGUCGCAUGGCACUGGGCAUCAAAGAUUUAUCGCUCUGAGAUGGACUCGCGUCUGAUUAGCUAGUUGGCGGGAUAACGGCCCACCAAGGCGACGAUCAGUAGCCGGACUGAGAGGUUGGCCGGCCACAUUGGGACUGAGAUACGGCCCAGACUCCUACGGAAGGCAGCAG
rnacentral:rRNA from 1 species